rnacentral:lncRNA from 10 species
ACACACAGCUAGCUCUUCAGGCCAGGCCCCCAGGGUUUCGUCCACCUCUCACCUUUGACGACGCGGUCAGCCCCGGGAGGGGGCGGCGGGGGCGGGGGUGGGGGCGGUGCAGCCCGGGCCGGCUCCGGGGCGGCCAUGCUGGGCCCGGGGCUCGGCUAGGCUCUGGGCCGGGCGGGGUUGGGGGCGGGGGCGGCGGCUACCAGAGCCAAGCGGCGGCGCCGCCGGGGAACAUGGCGGACCCUCUUUCCCUACAGAGGGGCUAAGACCGGCAUGCACUGCGCGUGCGGGGGUGGGGGCGGGGUAGGCUCUAGGGACUUGGGCAAAAUUACUGAAGCUAGGAGAGAAACAGGACGAGGCCAAGGGAUCAGGUUAAAAUUCUUUGCAUGCAGAAUGAAGAAUGAGGAGGUGCUGCGAUCGAACGACUGCGAGGAAACACACCCGCUCUCAUGGCAUUCCCAGUAAACUGAGAAGACGUGAUUAAACCUCAGGAUCUCCUACUAAUAGAGAAAUGUAUAACGAUUUAGCUACCAGAUCUGAAUACUGAAGGGUUGGUAGGGGACCAGAGAAUAGAGGAAGCAUUGUAGGUUCUAGAGUGGAGAAGGGACCAUCCAAAAUGGAGUUUGAAAGAGAAUUCUGGCCUUUGUGUUUAGAGUCUGGAAUUGUCAAGAGUCUGAAAGCACAGAAUAAGACUGCAGCUAGAGCAAUUUAGGCGCCAUAGUUUGUCAAAACAGGUAAGGGGAAUAAAGGGGAUGACACCAAGAGAUGUGCAAAGAAUCUGAAGAAUUCACCUGAAAAGGAUACAACCUCCUCCUGGAAGGCAGAGGAGUAAAUAGGGAAUUGGAAAUUAAUUCCUUAUUUCUGCACAUGCACAGAAUCUGGGCCCAGGUGACUUAUGGAACCUUUAUAGAGACCACGGUGACUGACACUCAUGGGAAAGGGGGUAGAGGGGCAAGAACUGACUGUUCAUCAAAAAUUAUUAGAUGAGUGUGUCCACGACACCAGGAGAUAUGUUGAAUCAUGGACAGGGACCAGCAUAUCCACUAAGCUCUAUAUAUCUUGAUGGUGCAGGAUCCAAGUGGGAUGGAACAACCAAUUCCUGCCCAUCCUCCUGCUCAAUAAUACAUGUGCUCAGAAUCUGUUCAUAAUGCAUGGUGAGACGGGAUCUCACUGUGUUGCCCAGGCUGGUCUCGAACUGCUGGACUCAAGUCAUCCUCCCAUCUUGGCCUCCCAAAGUGCUGGAAUUACAGUGGACAACCUUCAAUGCACUGGUACUUUGUACCCUGACCUCUACUGUGAUGAACACUCAACUUGGGCAAGGAAGUGAAAUUCUCCAAAGUGGGUUCUGACCCAAUCAGCAGCCUUUGCUUCUCAGAUUCCUCUCAAGGCUUUAUGACUCUUCUCACCCCAGGAAACCCUACAACACGCACGGCCUUUCAGAACUGCUACAUGGAAUGGACAUUCCUCUGGGCUCCAGCUGAAUGUUUGUAAAUAAAAUAAUGACUGCGUGUCCUUAUUUUUGCUGAGUACACAG